CUCUCCCAUGGGAGCCAUUCGACUUGUGGGUGUGCAACAGCCUGCUGAAUUGGGCACCUGCAGAAUGCUCAAAGGCUUUGGGCUGAACAAAUCAACACCAGGGUGAGGAUGUGGGAAGAGAAAGGAAAGUAGACAUUGGAGCAGACUAUGCUGCAAAACAUUCACUUUCACCACUGUAGCAGAAGACUCGCAAGCAUCAUAGACUGCAAACAUAUAGCACAUGACCAUAGAGAUGACCUUCUAGGCAUGCUGUAAAGCCUCCCUUUUUCCCCACAGGCAUUUGGAGAAGACAGGGGUUGUAGACAGAAGAAGAGGAUAGUAUGUUGGAGAUGGAUAUAGGCGCAGUCUUGCAGUUUUCCUGGUGGGGUAGAGGGUUACUGGCUAACUGAAGAAUUGUGUGAUUAGAUUUUGGAAGGACUGAAUUAGUAUAGUGAAAAUGUAAAAGAUUGUAGUUGUGUGUGUUAAUCAAUAUAAGAUGCCCAGAGCUUAGGCUAGGUUCUGGAUUCACUGAACUGAUUAAGUAUUAUAGCUGGUGUUGGUCGCUCCCACUAUAGUUAAACAGUUUUCU